rnacentral:ncRNA from 2 species
UAUAGUCGUCCCGUCGUCGGUGUUCGCUUUCGGGCGGACCAAGAGGGAAUGCGGUGCGGGAGUUUCUCCCAAAGCCGCGGCUGCCCCCGCAACUGUCGGCGGUGAGCGGGCCUGCAACAUGCCACUGGAGCAAUCCGGGAAGGCGCAGGCUUCGCAAUGACCCGCGAGCCAGGAGACCUGCCGGCGACAUCCUGCCCGU